rnacentral:rRNA from 1 species
UACAGAGGGGGCAAGCGUUGUACGGAAUUACUGGGCGUAAAGGGCGCGUAGGCGGCCUGCUAAGUCGAACGUGAAAUCCCCGAGCUCAACUCGGGAACUGCGUCCGAUACUGGCAGGCUUGAAUCCGGGAGAGGGAUGCGGAAUUCCAGGUGUAGCGGUGAAAUGCGUAGAUAUCUGGAGGAACACCGGUGGCGAAGGCGGCAUCCUGGACCGGCAUUGACGCUGAGGCGCGAAAGCGUGGGGAGCAAACAGG